rnacentral:rRNA from 1 species
UGGGGAAUUUUGGACAAUGGACGCAAGUCUGAUCCAGCCAUGCCGCGUGCGGGAAGAAGGCCUUCGGGUUGUAAACCGCUUUUGUCAGGGAAGAAACGAGUUUCUCUAAUACAGAGACUUAAUGACGGUACCUGAAGAAUAAGCACCGGCUAACUACGUGCCAGCAGCCGCGGUAAUACGUAGGGUGCAAGCGUUAAUCGGAAUUACUGGGCGUAAAGCGUGCGCAGGCGGUUAUAUAAGACAGAUGUGAAAUCCCCGGGCUCAACCUGGGAACUGCCUUUGUGACUGCAUAGCUAGAGUACGGUAGAGGGGGAUGGAAUUCCGCGUGUAGCAGUGAAAUGCGUAGAUAUGCGGAGGAACACCGAUGGCGAAGGCAAUCCCCUGGACCUGUACUGACGCUCAUGCACGGAAGCGUGGGGAGCAAACA